GACGAACGCUGGCGGCGUGCUUAACACAUGCAAGUCGAACGGAAAGGCCCUGCUUUUGUGGGGUGCUCGAGUGGCGAACGGGUGAGUAACACGUGAGUAACCUGCCCUUGACUUUGGGAUAACUUCAGGAAACUGGGGCUCAUACCGGAUAGGAUCUCUUGCUGCAUGGUGGGGGUUGGAAAGUUUCGGCGGUUGGGGAUGGACUCGCUGCUUAUCCGCUUGUUGGUGGGGUAGUGGCUUACCAAGGCUUUGACGGGUAGCCGGCCUGAGAGGGUGACCGGCCACAUUGGGACUGAGAUACGGACCAGACUCCUACGGGAGGCAGCAGUGGGGAGUAUUGCACAAUGGGCGGAAGCCUGAUGCAGCAACGCCGCGUGCGGGAUGACGGCCUUCGGGUUGUAAACCGCUGUCGCCUGUGACGAAGCGUGAGUGACGGUAAUGGGUAAAGAAGCACCGGCUAACUACGUG
rnacentral:rRNA from 1 species